CCUACGGGGGGCAGCAGUGAGGAAUAUUGGUCAAUGGACGAGAGUCUGAACCAGCCAAGUAGCGUGAAGGAUGACUGCCCUAUGGGUUGUAAACUUCUUUUAUAAAGGAAUAAAACGAGGCACGUGUGCCUUUUUGCAUGUACUUUAUGAAUAAGGAUCGGCUAACUCCGUGCCAGCAGCCGCGGUAAUACGGAGGAUCCGAGCGUUAUCCGGAUUUAUUGGGUUUAAAGGGAGCGUAGAUGGGUUGUUAAGUCAGUUGUGAAAGUUUGCGGCUCAACCGUAAAAUUGCAAUUGAUACUGGGAGUCUUGAGUACAGUUGAGGUAAGCGGAAUUCGUGGUGUAGCGGUGAAAUGCUUAGAUAUCACGAAGAACCCCGAUUGCGAAGGCAGCUUACUAAACUGUGACUGACAUUGAUGCUCGAAAGUGUGGGUAUCAAACAGGAUUAGAUACCCUUGUAGUC
rnacentral:rRNA from 1 species